GCAAGCGUUGUUCGGAAUUACUGGGCGUAAAGGGCGCGUAGGCGGCCCUCUAAGUCGAACGUGAAAUCCCCGGGCUCAACCCGGGAACUGCGUCCGAUACUGGAAGGCUUGAAUCCGGGAGAGGGAUGCGGAAUUCCAGGUGUAGCGGUGAAAUGCGUAGAUAUCUGGAGGAACACCGGUGGCGAAGGCGGCAUCCUGGACCGGCAUUGACGCUGAGGCGCGAAAGCCAGGGGAGCAAACGGG
rnacentral:rRNA from 1 species